CAGUCGCCGCGGGAAUACGUAGGGGGCAAGCGUUAUCCGGAUUUACUGGGUGUAAAGGGAGCGCAGACGGCAGUGCAAGUCUGAAGUGAAAGGCGUGGGCUCGACCCAUGAACUGCUUUGGAAACUGUAUAGCUUGAGUGUCGGAGGGGUAAGCGGAAUUCCUAGUGUAGCGGUGAAAUGCGUAGAUAUUAGGAGGAACACCGGAGGCGAAGGCGGCUUACUGGACGACAACUGACGUUGAGGCUCGAAGGCGUGGGGAGCAAACAGGAUUAGAUACCCCCGUAGUCCCUGUCUCUUAUAC
rnacentral:rRNA from 1 species